rnacentral:rRNA from 1 species
UGCAGUCGAGCGGUAACAGGUGUAGCAAUACAUGCUGACGAGCGGCGAACGGGUGAGUAAUGCUUUGGAAUCUUCCCAGUAGUGGGGAAUAACCAGUCGAAAGAUUGGCUAAUACCGCAUACGUCUGUAAAGGGAAAGCGGGGGCUCGUAAGACCUCGCGCUAUUGGAUGAGCCAAAGUCGGGUUAGCUAGUUGGUGGGGUAAUGGCCUACCAAGGCGACAAUCCGUAGCUGGUCUGAGAGGACGACCAGCCACACCGGAACUGAGACACGGUCCGGACUCCUACGGGAGGCAGCAGUGGGGAAUAUUGGACAAUGGGGGAAACCCUGAUCCAGCGACGCCGCGUGUGUGAAGAAGGCCUGCGGGUUGUAAAGCACUUUUAGUGGGGACAAAAAGCCAUGGACUAAUACUCUGUGGUCUUGAUUUAACCCAAAGAAAAAGCACCGGCUAACUCUGUGCCAGCAGCCGCGGUAAUACAGAGGGUGCGAGCGUUAAUCGGAAUUACUGGGCGUAAAGCGCGCGUAGACGGUUUUGUAAGUCAGAUGUGAAAUCCCUGGGCUCAACCUGGGAACUGCAUUUGAGACCGCAUGGCUAGAGUAUCGAAGAGGGAAGUGGAAUUUCCGGUGUAGCGGUGAAAUGCGUAGAUAUCGGAAGGAACACCAGUGGCGAAAGCGACUUCCUGGUCGAAUACUGACGUUCAUGUGCGAAAGCGUGGGGAGCAAACAGGAUUAGAUACCCUGGUAGUCCACGCCAUAAACGAUGACAACUAGAUGUUGGGAGGGUCUGCUCCCGGUGUCGCAGCUAACGCGUUAAGUUGUC